rnacentral:rRNA from 1 species
UACGUAGGGUGCGAGCGUUGUCCGGAAUUACUGGGCGUAAAGAGCUCGUAGGUGGUUUGUCGCGUUGUUCGUGAAAACUCACAGCUUAACUGUGGGCGUGCGGGCGAUACGGGCAGACUGGAGUACUGCAGGGGAGACUGGAAUUCCUGGUGUAGCGGUGGAAUGCGCAGAUAUCAGGAGGAACACCGGUGGCGAAGGCGGGUCUCUGGGCAAUUCCUGACGCUGAGGCGCGAAAGCGUGGGGAGCAAACGGG